rnacentral:rRNA from 1 species
GACGAACGCUGGCGGCGCGCUUAACACAUGCAAGUCGUGCGGUGUCAAAGGCAAGUCUUACGACAAGCCUUCGACACAGCGGCGAACUGGUGAGUAACACGUAGGUUAUCUACCCUCAAGACGGGGACAACCCAGGGAAACUUGGGCUAAUACCGGAUGUGAGCAACUUUUAGUUGUUUGAAAGGUGGCGUAAGCUGUCGCUUGGGGAUGAGCCUGCGUCCUAUUAGUUAGUUGGUGAGGUAACGGCUCACCUAGGCAAUGAUAGGUAGGCGGCCUUAACGGGUGGUCGCCCACACUGGGAUUGAGAUACGGCCCAGACUCCUACGGGAGGCAGCAGUCGAGAAUAGUCUACAAUGGUCGGAAGACUGAUAGUGCGACGCCGCGUGAACGAUGAAUCCCUUCGGGGUGUAAAGUUCUUUUAUAUGUGAGCAGUGCUUCUUAUAUUAACAGUAUGGGGAGAGAGAUAUUAGCAUAUGAAUAAGCAACGGCUAACUCCGUGCC